UUAAACCUUUUCGUCGAAAUGAAACGCUUAUAUUUAAACUUGCAAUGCUUUCUUUACCACUUCAGUGCUUAAUAUCAGUAAGAGAAAGCAGUUUGACAGCUUCAAAGUGAACUGACAUAGGCUAAACAAAAAUAGAUGCACACACACACACACACAGAGGCAGAACCAGCUAGAGGAGGCAUGCUUAAAUUUUCGUCAACGAAUAGAUUAGGACAGUUUC
rnacentral:lncRNA from 1 species